UACAGAGGGUGCGAGCGUUGUCCGGAAUCACUGGGCGUAAAGGGCGCGUAGGCGGCGCGGUAAGCGUGCGGUGAAAGCCCGGGGCUCAACCCCGGGUCGGCCGUGCGGACUGCCGGGCUGGAGCACUGUAGAGGCAGGUGGAAUUCCGGGUGUAGCGGUGGAAUGCGUAGAGAUCCGGAAGAACACCGGUGGCGAAGGCGGCCAACUGGACAGAUACUGACGCUGAGACUCGAAAGCGUGGGGAGCAAACAGGG
rnacentral:rRNA from 1 species